UCAUACUCUGCUUGAUUGUUGCUGGCUUUGAAGGCGAAUCUCAACGAUUGUUCGAUCAGCACGCCGUUGGGUCCUUCCAAUAUGACUCCAGCACCGCUACCCUGCUGGUUUGACGAUCCAUCCACCGAGAGUACCCAACGGAAAUCAUCUCCUUCAACCUGCGUCGCCUCUGAAGAGAGCUCGACUACAAAAUCUGCAAAGAUUUGCCCUUUGAUCG
rnacentral:lncRNA from 1 species